GAAUGCGUAGAUUAUGGAAGACACCGGUGGCGAAGGCGGCUCUCUGGUCUGCAACUGACGCUGAGGCUCGAAAGCGUGGGUAGCAAACAGGAUUAGAUACCCUGGUAGUCCAUGCCGUAAACGAUGAGUGCUAAGUGUUGGAGGGUUUCCGCCCUUCAGUGCCGCAGCUAACGCAUUAAGCACUCCGCCUGGGGAGUACGACCGCAAGGUUGAAACUCAAAGGAAUUGACGGGGGCCCGCACAAGCGGUGGAGCAUGUGGUUUAAUUCGAAGCAACGCGAAGAACCUUACCAGGUCUUGACAUCCCUUGCCAACCCUAGAAAUAAGGUGUUCCCUUCGGGGACAAAGAGACAGGUGGUGCAUGGUUGUCGUCAGCUCGUGUCGUGAGAUGUUGGGUUAAGUCCCGCAACGAGCGCAACCCUUGUUAUUAGUUGCCAGCAUUAAGUUGGGCACUCUAGUGAGACUGCCGGUGACAAACCGGAGGAAGGUGGGGAUGACGUCAAAUCAUCAUGCCCCUUAUGCCCUGGGGGC
rnacentral:rRNA from 1 species